GAGUUUGACUCCUGGCUACAGAACGACGCUGGCGGCAGGCCUAACACAUGCAAGUCGAGCGCUGUAUUUAUACAGAGCGGCAGACGGGUGAGUAACACGUGGGAAUCUACCUAUCGGUGGGGAAUAACUUCGGGAAACUGAAGCUAAUACCGCAUACGCCCUGACGGGGGGAAAGAGUUUAUCGCCGAUAGAUGAGCCCGCGUCUGAUUAGCUAGUUGGUAAGGUAAAGGCUUACCAAGGCGACGAUCAGUAGCUGGUCUGAGAGGAUGAUCAGCCACAUUGGGACUGAGACACGGCCCAAACUCCUACGGGAGGCAGCAGUGGGGAAUAUUGGACAAUGGGGGCAACCCUGAUCCAGCCAUGCCGCGUGAGUGAUGAAGGCCCUAGGGUUGUAAAGCUCUUUCACCGGUGAAGAUAAUGACGGUAACCGGAGAAGAAGCCCCGGCUAACUUCGUG
rnacentral:rRNA from 1 species